ACGGAGGGUGCAAGCGUUAAUCGGAAUUACUGGGCGUAAAGCGCGCGUAGGCGGUUUGUUAAGUCGGCUGUGAAAGCCCCGGGCUCAACCUGGGAAUUGCAGUUGAUACUGAUCGACUAGAGUACGAGAGAGGGAGGUAGAAUUCCACGUGUAGCGGUGAAAUGCGUAGAUAUGUGGAGGAAUACCAGUGGCGAAGGCGGCCUCCUGGCUCGAUACUGACGCUGAGGCGCGAAAGCGUGGGGAGCAAACAGG
rnacentral:rRNA from 1 species